rfam:Thelohanellus kitauei scaffold02155, whole genome shotgun sequence.
CAUCAAGUGACUAAAGGGACUAUUAGGGAUGUUUAGCGAGUGUAUCAGAAAAGAAGUGGAAACACUAAAGGCAUUAGUAACUAAAGACUAGUGCGAUCUUAAGGGAAACCAUUAUAUUAUACUACGGGCUGAACCGAAACAUCGUAGUAAGCCUAGGAAAGGAAAUCAACCGAGACCCUGUCAGUAGCGGCGAGCGAACGCAGGAUAGCCUAGUGAUUAAUACGUAUCAUCUAAUACUCUGGAAAGGGUAGCAUGUAAUUUACAUACCAUAGAAGGUAACAGUCCUGUGGAUGAACCAUUAAUCACGUCUAGCAAUUUAGCACAUUUAUGUGUCUAGAUUAGUGAGUAGGGCGGCAUUAAACCUGCCCGAAUAAGGGGGAACCAUCCUCCAAGGCUAAGUAUGAUACAUUCAGCGAUAGUGAAGAGUACCGUGAGGGAAAAAUGAUAAGAAAGUCGAUGACUGGUGAAAUAGAGCCUGAACUAGUAGUCCUAUAAGCAGACAGAGGAUUAACUUCUGAUGUCGUACCUUUUGCAUAAUGGGUCAGCAACUUAAUGUUACUGGCAAGGUGAAUAGCCCUAGCGAAAGCGACUAUCUGUAUAAACGGAUGGGUUAAGUCAGUAGUAUUAGACCCGAAACGCCGUGAUCUAGCCAUGAGCAGGGAUAUAGGCCCGAACAGAUGUACGUUGCAUAGUGCUCUGAUGACUUGUGGUUAGGAGUGAAAUGCUAAUCUAACGGCGUGAUAGCUGGUUCUCUGCGAAAUGCAUUGCAGUGCAGCGUUGGCGACUAGCAUAUGGUAGGUACAGCACUGAUUGACAUGUUUGACGAAAGUCAGGCCGACUAGGGGGAUGUGAAAGUCCUAUCUAGGUCAGUUAACCUCGGAAUGAUCAUAUGUCUUAGCCAGCAGUGAGUCGUAAGGUGAUAAGGUCUCGCGACGAGAGGGAAACAGCCCAAACAAUGUGUUAAAGUCCCAAAGCUAUUGACAAGUGAAAUUAAGGAAGUAGAGUACCUGAUACAGCCACGAUAUGGGAUUGGAAGCGUCCAUUAUUUAAAGAAAGCGUAACAGCUCAAUGGUCUAGGUAUUCUGCGCCGAAGAUGUACCGGGUCUUAAUCAAUACACUAAUACCAUUGUAUAGUAUCUCCGUAUUAUUUAUAGUACGAUGAAGAAACUAGUAGGUAGCAGAGCGUCCAGUACUGAUGAAGAGCAGUAUUUUAUUGUUUGGAGGUAACUGGAGUGAGGAUGCUGGCAUGAGUAACAUAAAUGAAUGUUGAAUCAUUCACACCGUAAGAGAAAGGUUUCUGAGGGCAAGUUAGACUUCCUCAGGUUAAAGCGGUAUCUAAGGGAUUAGCCAAAGCGACAUCUCGAUGAUUAUAUUGCAGAACGGCUCUUUGAGUCCAAGAAAACAAUGCAAUCAAGCUACCGUACCUUAAACCGACACAGGUUCUCGGGUAGAGUAUACUAAGGUGACGGACUAAUCAAAUUUAAGGAACUCGGCAAACUGAUCUCGUACGUUCGACAAGAAGAGAUACCUUUGUAUUAAAAUACAGGGGUGACACAGAAUUGGAGGGUGCAACUGUUUACCUAAAACACAGCAGCCUGCUAACACUAACAGUGGUCGUAUAGGUUGUGAUUCCUGUCCGAUGUCAGGAGAUAUAGCUACUGGUUAUUUGUUAAUCGCAAGUAAUCGGGGUUUGAAGUACUGAUCAAUGACGGUCUUAACUAUAAGGAUCCUAAGGUAACGAAAUUCCUUGGCCGCUAAUUACGGUCCUGCAUGAAUGGAACACUGAUGCCCUCGCUGUCUUAAAUUUGAGUCCGGUGAAAUUGAAUUAACCGUGCAGAUGCGGUUUACCACCAGUUAGACGGGAAGACCCUAUGCAGCUUUACUAUAGUCAGGCAUUGUGUUAGUCUAUCAUUUGUCACAGGCAUGAGGUAGUUGAUAUAACGUAAGUGAGAGACCUCAACAAAUCGUAGACGCACUAACCUCAAUGUGAGGGAACGUGUCUGAUGGGUAGUUUUACUGGGACGGUACCCUCCAAAAUACCAUCGGAGGGGUCCAAUAGGUACACAUAGCUUAGACGGGGACUAAGAGACCAUGUAAGGUCUACAACAGCAUAAUGGCGAAAGUGUGCUAGACUGAAAGACCGACAGGUCAAUCAGGUACGUAAGUAGGGCAUAGUGAACCGAUAGUACGUUAUGGUACGGCUAUCGUUCAACGGAUAAGCUACGCUAGGGAUAACAGGGUAAUAGCGCGCGAGAGUUCAUAUCGUAAGCGCUGUUUGCCACCUCGAUGUCGACUCAUCACAUCCUCCUGGUGUACAAGCUGGGAAGGGUUCGACUGUUCGUCGAUUAAAGUGGUACGUGAGUUGGGUUCAAUACGACGUGAGUCAGUAUGGUCCCUAUCUUCUGGUGGGACAUAUAGAAUAAGAAGAACAUCUAGUUAGUACGAAAGGACCAUUAGGUGCGCAUCUCUGGUGUAUCUGCUAUUGUUUGCAAUCGUGAGGUUGACAAUGGUACCGCAGAGUAGCUACAUGCGUUAAGGAUAAGAUCUGAAAGCAUAUAAGAUCGAAGCUGUUCUUUAGAAGCUAUAAAGCGACAGGAUGCAGAUCACGUCCUCGAUAGGUCACAUGUGUAAGCGCUGUAAGGCGUGCUAGCUGAGUGAUACUAAUGAGUCGCUAGACUUGAUGAU